rnacentral:rRNA from 1 species
GACGAACGCUGGCGGCGUGCUUAACACAUGCAAGUCGAACGGAAAGGCCCUGCUUGCAGGGUACUCGAGUGGCGAACGGGUGAGUAACACGUGGGUGAUCUGCCCUGCACUUCGGGAUAAGCCUGGGAAACUGGGUCUAAUGCCGGAUAGGAGCCAUUUUUAGUGUGAUGGUUGGAAAGUUUUUUCGGUGUAGGAUGAGCUCGCGGCCUAUCAGCUUGUUGGUGGGGUAAUGGCCUACCAAGGCGGCGACGGGUAGCCGGCCUGAGAGGGUGGACGGCCACAUUGGGACUGAGAUACGGCCCAGACGCCUACGGGAGGCAGCAGGGGGGAAUAUUGCACAAUGGGCGCAAGCCGGAUGCAGCGACGCCGCGUGGGGGAUGACGGCCUUCGGGUUGUAAACUCCUUUCGCUAGGGACGAAGCUUUUUGUGACGGUACCUAGAGAAGAAGCACCGGCUAACUACGUG